UGUGCACAUUGUUAGAGCUUGGAGUUGAGGCUGCUGACUGGCCGAUGAACUCGCAAGUGUAGGUAGUGUGCUACAUGAGGGGCAAGUUUUUCGCUAACACCACAAGGGUCUUUGGCCCAAUGAGUGGAGUUUGAUAGUAAUUCUUGCUACAAGU
ensembl:snoRNA SNORA62 Small nucleolar RNA SNORA62/SNORA6 family